rnacentral:lncRNA from 1 species
AAGGUCCCGUGCUGCCAUCCGGCCCCAGUCCUUGUAAUCACAUCCCAGAACAAAGGGCAGGGCGAUGCACCUUCAAUGAAAAGAAUAUAGCUGACGACAUUGCAACUGCACCUCCAGCUGUUUCCGCGUACAUGCUGGCAGAGGAUGCUGCCAUGGCUUCCCUUGCUAAGGAUGGCUAUGACCAAGAUCACAGCUCUUAAUGAUGUAAUCAUAUUUGUGCAUGGAUCAGCUGAUGAGUUAGAUGUGGAAGAUAGAUCCCAAUCCUUAUGAUUAGUAUAUAUGUUUUAUCUCUAACCUUAAUUCAUUUCAUAUACUUGGUUUAGAAAGAAU